rnacentral:rRNA from 1 species
UCUUGGUCAUUUAGAGGAAGUAAAAGUCGUAACAAGGUUUCCGUAGGUGAACCUGCGGAAGGAUCAUUAUCGUAUAACUGAGGUGUUAGGUGGCUGUCGCUGACUUUUGAAAAGAAAAAAAAAAGGUUGUGCACGCCCCUGCACUCUCGUGCAUCCAUCUCACCCCUUUUGUGCAUCACCGCGUGAGGCCCCCCCCUUUUUUUUUUUUUUUAAGGGAGGGUUCACGUUUUUCUUUACACAAACACCUUUUUAAUGCAUGUCUAGAAUGUCUUUACUAUUUGCGCUCAUACGCAAUCAAUACAACUUUCAACAACGGAUCUCUUGGCUCUCGCAUCGAUGAAGAACGCAGCGAAAUGCGAUACGUAAUGUGAAUUGCAGAAUUCAGUGAAUCAUCGAAUCUUUGAACGCACCUUGCGCCCCUUGGUAUUCCGAGGGGCACACCCGUUUGAGUGUCGUGAACAUCCUCAACCUUUCGUUGGUUUCUUGACCAAGGGGAGGCUUGGACUUUGGAGGCUUUAUUUUUGCUGGCAUCCUUGGAAGCCAGCUCCUCCUAAAUGAAUUAGUAGGGUCUGCUUUGCUGAUCCUUGACGUGAUAAGGUUAUUUCUACGUCUUGGAUUGUGCACAAGUCAGUUUUGGAUUCUGCUUCUAACCGUCUUUGCAAAAGACAAUGUUGUAAACCUUGACCUCAAAUCGGGUGAGACUACCCGCUGAACUUAAGCAUAUCAAUAAGCGGAGGA